rnacentral:rRNA from 1 species
UACGGAGGGGGCUAGCGUUGUUCGGAAUUACUGGGCGUAAAGCGCACGUAGGCGGCUUUGUAAGUUAGAGGUGAAAGCCCGGGGCUCAACUCCGGAACUGCCUUUAAGACUGCAUCGCUGGAAUUGUGGAGAGGUAAGUGGAAUUCCGAGUGUAGAGGUGAAAUUCGUAGAUAUUCGGAGGAACACCAGUGGCGAAGGCGGCUCACUGGUCCGGUACUGACGCUGAGGUGCGAAAGCGUGGGGAGCAAACAGG